AAAACAUUUGGUACUUUAAUAAUUAUAGCUACCUUCCAGUACUAGAAAAACCCAGCACUGAUUAUUAUAGGUUGGACACUGUGGCUUCGGUUUCGCUAAAUGAUGCUGGCAAUAAUCUUUGAGCUUUUCUUUAUUUCAAAGACCAUUUAUUUAGGUCUCCUUCAUCGACCUUCCUUUCAGUUACAAUAGGUUUAUAUAGAAUCUCUUGAUAGUAACGACCGCAACGAAUCGAAGAAUUUGAUACUAAACCAACUUUAUCUUUCCAAAUGGGCUUUAAAAAAUCUUCCUUCGCUUGCGUCUCAUCGCAGUCAGUACGCGAAAAUUCAGCUCCAGAGAGUUUUAAAUAACUCUGGACCGACAGUGAAACUGUCAAUAGUUCCAGUACGAAAGGAUUAUGGUCCGAGUUUAUGAAAAUUAGCAAUAGUAGCUAAUGGAUAUUCGUGGGUUUAGAGGUCCAACCACAGUCAAAUGAUACGGUAACUCAUAAUUUUUUAAGUAGCUCCCGGCCUCAUUUUAAAUAUAAAGUUGACUUACCCGCAAAAAAAAAAGGUACAGAAAAAUUAACUUUAUACGCUUUAAACUUGUCGCCUUUCAGGUAAUUGUAGUAACACCGUCCAUAUGUUUGCCUCUGUCAUUGCAAUAUUUACUUUAUUUACUUUAUGACAGUUGUUUGUCUGGGUUUCACAUGUUAAAGCUAUAUUAAUAUCUUCUUUCGUAACAAAUUUUCGAAACUCAGGUAGUUACUUGUAUAGACCGAACGCAUUUCAAUAGAGUAUUUGCAAAGUCAUAUAAGCUCAAUUCUUGGUUAAUACUACUAGAUGGGGAUUAUAUUAUUUUGUUUUUGCCAUUUCUUCAGCUUACAUUAAGAUCGGGGGAGGCUUUUUUACAACAUCCGCGUACGAUAAAAUAUGAUUAUAUAAGCGUUAUAGUGCUACCACUGUUCACCUUUAUUUUGUUACUAAUUUUCUCGGGAAGCAGGCGACCUUGACAGAUCGCUCGAUCAUUUUAUUGUAAUUAGCACAGAACAUGAUGCGUGUUUCAAGUUAAAAAUAUUUAAAUCAAUAAUGCUCUUCUCCGCAACUGACGCAACUUGGCGCGACAGUUUCCUUGGAUGGGCCGUAAAGUUCACAUCGAUAGCAUUAACUUAAAUAAUUUUUUUGAAGCACUGACUUUAACUCUGCAGACAGUUGACGUAUCGUAAAUUUCUUAUCUGAUUUUGGAAUUAUAACUGGGACAAGGGGGCGUACUUAGUGCAGAGAGGGACGUACCUUUGUAGGAUUAAAAUUCUGUCCUUUUAAAUCCUCUAUACUCAUACAAGUCUAAUUCCGUCAAUAACUUCUGAUAAUUUUGAGGCAUCUAUCAUCUGGAAGUUUGUAGGUAAAAUUACCACAGUAUAAAGAGAAAAUAAUAUUUUCUUAUUUUGUCGUAAUGGUCUAAAGUUUUUAUAUAUUUGAGGCCGGGCAUAACAUUGACAGCCAUUAAAAACAUUUAUUAAAUAUUAAUAACUUUCUUUAUAGCUUGAGAUAUAAGUCUUCUAUUCGCACAAAUAUUGGCUGCAUUCUAUAUUUAAUUCACU